GACGAACGCUGGCGGCGUGCCUAACACAUGCAAGUCGAGCGGAAAUAUUCUGAAGAGUAAUCGGAAGGAUAUUUUAGCGGCGGACGGGUGAGUAACACGUGGGCAACCUGCCCUGUACAGGGGGAUAACACUGGGAAACUAGUGCUAAUACCGCAUGAUACGCGAAGAUGGCAUCAUUUUUGCGUCAAAGGAGAAAUCCGGUACAGGAUGGGCCCGCGUCCGAUUAGCUAGUUGGUGAGGUAAUGGCUCACCAAGGCGACGAUCGGUAGCCGGAUUGAGAGGUUGAACGGCCACAUUGGGACUGAGACACGGCCCAGACUCCUACGGGAGGCAGCAGUGGGGAAUAUUGCACAAUGGGGGAAACCCUGAUGCAGCGACGCCGCGUGAAGGAAGGAGGUCUUCGGAUUGUAAACUUCUUUGAUUGGGGACGAAAUAUGACGGUACCCAAGGAACAAGCCACGGCUAACUACGUG
rnacentral:rRNA from 1 species